rnacentral:lncRNA from 1 species
CAUGUUGUCAGCAUGCCAGGUGUUUGGAACCAUUGUUCCAUCCUGUCGUCGCAAGCGAUAAGUUCCUGGCCUUAUCUCUUCGUCGACGAUGUAUGGACCCUCGAAGUUGGAUGACAACUUAUUCCUUGGUCUACUCCUUUCGGUGAUACUAGCCUUCCGCGUGAUGAGGGUUCCCGGCAGAAACACUUUUUUGCGUACUUGGCGAUUGUGGUAUCGUGAUACGCUGGCCUUGUACGAUUCAUUCCGCAAGUCUGCCUC